rnacentral:lncRNA from 1 species
AGGGAAGGAGCUCUGUGUCAUAAAAGUGACCACAGCUGAGCCAAUCUCGCCCUAUGCCAGUCCACGUGGUAAUUUUGGAAGGGCCCUGGGAUAUCUGACCUUAUGAUGGUGUAGAAAAGGCUUGGACUACAUGUUUGGUUUGAAGUUUGAAAAUCUCAGUCCUUCCCCAACCAUCAAAAAUAUUUACCUCCCUCCCUUGUCUCACAAUCAUCUAAGCUGCCUUCUUGAAUUGACUCCCACACCUGUUCAUCAUAGAAGGAAAAAAAUAAAAGCAAAUGCCAUAUAAAAUCUCUCUUCUUCAACAAGGUCUUCUGUUUUGAAAUAUUGAAACAGUUCCUGUUCUAUUACCUCACCAGCUGUGGCCUUUUAUCUCCUAAAGGGAAUAGCUGACGUCUUACCAGUCAAAGUCAUUGUGCUUACGGACGCCAUAAAUAUCUCCUUUAAAUCCUACAUGAUAAAUUUCCCUCUGAUUGGUAAAGCAGAUACUGUAACAUGCAAAGGGGGAGCAGGAGAGUCUUUGAUGAUGUUAAACUAAGCCCCUGGAGAUAUCCCAGCUCUUCCUCCAGAAUUUUACUUUCCAACAACUGGAGUCAACAAAUACGGUAGAAAAUGUUGUCUGGAUUAUCUACUCCCAUUAUUUUUUUUUAAACUGGUUUUCAAUGAUGGGCAACCUAAAAUUUACUCACACAGAACACAAAACAGUUGAAUUUGUUAAAAGUCCAAAAUGUGCUUUUGUACUUUUGUAAAAUGGGAAUGUGCUUCUUGUACAAAUCACAAUAUGCUUUCUAGACCACAACCUAAAAAGGAAAGAAAAAAAUCCUGUGAAUAAAAAAAAAAAACAAGGACUUUCAGUUUUCUACAUGCAUUUGAAAUGACUUUAUCUCUGACUCAUGUUCUACUUUAUUUUUGAUUGGGAAGACCUGUUCCUAUACUGUAAUUUUUUUUUAAUAAUAAGUUUCCAUUUGUAACUAUUAGUUGGUCUUUCCACAAAAUUGGUUUGCUGGAAAGGACUGAGAAGAGAAAGAGCAUUCCUGGAUCAAUGGAACUGAUGAGUGUGGAAGUCCUUGAACUUGACCAAGCAUUGUCAAUUCUCAUAGUCUGACCAAAAAAAAACUAGAUUAUUUUGUGUGUUUUUCUUGGUGCUCCUAAUGUAAGUUUAUUCAAAUUGGGGGGGGGGCGGUGGGGGGAACAAACAAGUAGACUGCAGUUGUAAGAGAAAAAAGGUGAAAAUAAAUUAUUUUGGUGUUUUUUAUUACUUGGAACUUUAUUUAUUGUAGGAUAUAGAUUUAAGAUAAUUUUUUGUUUGUUUGUUUAUUUUAUUUUUAUUUAUUUAUUUGUUG